GGUUAAGCGACUAAGCGUACACGGUGGAUGCCCUGGCAGUCAGAGGCGAUGAAGGGCGUGCUAAUCUGCGAUAAGCGCCGGUAAGGUGAUAUGAACCGUUAUAACCGGCGAUACCCGAAUGGGGAAACCCAGUGUGACUCGUCACACUAUCAUUAACUGAAUCCAUAGGUUAAUGAGGCGAACCGGGGGAACUGAAACAUCUAAGUACCCCGAGGAAAAGAAAUCAACCGAGAUUCCCCCAGUAGCGGCGAGCGAACGGGGAGGAGCCCAGAGCCUGAAUCAGCAUGUGUGUUAGUGGAAGCGUCUGGAAAGGCGCGCGAUACAGGGUGACAGCCCCGUACACAAAAGCGCAUGUGCUGUGAGCUCGAUGAGUAGGGCGGGACACGUGGUAUCCUGUCUGAAUAUGGGGGGACCAUCCUCCAAGGCUAAAUACUCCUGACUGACCGAUAGUGAACCAGUACCGUGAGGGAAAGGCGAAAAGAACCCCGGCGAGGGGGGAGUGAAAAAGAACCUGAAACCGUGUACGUACAAGCAGUGGGAGCCCCACCACCAAAGCAUUCUCUGGUGUUGAAGGCCCUGCAAAGCAGCAUCGCGGUGGCGGAGCGUCGUUUGCGACGCCCAACACACAAAACAAGCGGUGAAUGCUUUGGGGUGGGGUGACUGCGUACCUUUUGUAUAAUGGGUCAGCGACUUAUAUUCUGUAGCAAGGUUAACCGAAUAGGGGAGCCGGAGGGAAACCGAGUCUUAAUUGGGCGUUAAGUUGCAGGGUAUAGACCCGAAACCCGGUGAUCUAGCCAUGGGCAGGUUGAAGGUUGGGUAACACUAACUGGAGGACCGAACCGACUAAUGUUGAAAAAUUAGCGGAUGACCUGUGGCUGGGGGUGAAAGGCCAAUCAAACCGGGAGAUAGCUGGUUCUCCCCGAAAGCUAUUUAGGUAGCGCCUCGUGAAUUCAUCUCCGGGGGUAGAGCACUGUUUCGGCUAGGGGGCCAUCCCGGCUUACCAACCCGAUGCAAACUGCGAAUACCGGAGAAUGUUAUCACGGGAGACACACGGCGGGUGCUAACGUCCGUCGUGAAGAGGGAAACAACCCAGACCGCCAGCUAAGGUCCCAAAGUCAUGGUUAAGUGGGAAACGAUGUGGGAAGGCCCAGACAGCCAGGAUGUUGGCUUAGAAGCAGCCAUCAUUUAAAGAAAGCGUAAUAGCUCACUGGUCGAGUCGGCCUGCGCGGAAGAUGUAACGGGGCUAAACCAUGCACCGAAGCUGCGGCAGCGACGCUGAUGCGUUGUUGGGUAGGGGAGCGUUCUGUAAGCCUGCGAAGGUGACCUGUGAGGGUUGCUGGAGGUAUCAGAAGUGCGAAUGCUGACAUAAGUAACGAUAAAGCGGGUGAAAAGCCCGCUCGCCGGAAGACCAAGGGUUCCUGUCCAACGUUAAUCGGGGCAGGGUGAGUCGACCCCUAAGGCGAGGCCGAAAGGCGUAGUCGAUGGGAAACGGGUUAAUAUUCCCGUACUUGGUGUUACUGCGAAGGGGGGACGGAGAAGGCUAUGUUGGCCGGGCGACGGUUGUCCCGGUUUAAGCGUGUAGGUGUGUGUUCCAGGUAAAUCCGGUUCACUUUAACACUGAGGCGUGAUGACGAGGCACUACGGUGCUGAAGCAACAAAUGCCCUGCUUCCAGGAAAAGCCUCUAAGCAUCAGGUAACAUCAAAUCGUACCCCAAACCGACACAGGUGGUCAGGUAGAGAAUACCAAGGCGCUUGAGAGAACUCGGGUGAAGGAACUAGGCAAAAUGGUGCCGUAACUUCGGGAGAAGGCACGCUGACACGUAGGUGAAGUGAUUUACUCACGGAGCUGAAGUCAGUCGAAGAUACCAGCUGGCUGCAACUGUUUAUUAAAAACACAGCACUGUGCAAACACGAAAGUGGACGUAUACGGUGUGACGCCUGCCCGGUGCCGGAAGGUUAAUUGAUGGGGUCAGCGCAAGCGAAGCUCCUGAUCGAAGCCCCGGUAAACGGCGGCCGUAACUAUAACGGUCCUAAGGUAGCGAAAUUCCUUGUCGGGUAAGUUCCGACCUGCACGAAUGGCGUAAUGAUGGCCAGGCUGUCUCCACCCGAGACUCAGUGAAAUUGAACUCGCUGUGAAGAUGCAGUGUACCCGCGGCAAGACGGAAAGACCCCGUGAACCUUUACUAUAGCUUGACACUGAACAUUGAGCCUUGAUGUGUAGGAUAGGUGGGAGGCUUUGAAGUGUGGACGCCAGUCUGCAUGGAGCCGACCUUGAAAUACCACCCUUUAAUGUUUGAUGUUCUAACGUGGACCCGUGAUCCGGGUUGCGGACAGUGUCUGGUGGGUAGUUUGACUGGGGCGGUCUCCUCCUAAAGAGUAACGGAGGAGCACGAAGGUUGGCUAAUCCUGGUCGGACAUCAGGAGGUUAGUGCAAUGGCAUAAGCCAGCUUGACUGCGAGCGUGACGGCGCGAGCAGGUGCGAAAGCAGGUCAUAGUGAUCCGGUGGUUCUGAAUGGAAGGGCCAUCGCUCAACGGAUAAAAGGUACUCCGGGGAUAACAGGCUGAUACCGCCCAAGAGUUCAUAUCGACGGCGGUGUUUGGCACCUCGAUGUCGGCUCAUCACAUCCUGGGGCUGAAGUAGGUCCCAAGGGUAUGGCUGUUCGCCAUUUAAAGUGGUACGCGAGCUGGGUUUAGAACGUCGUGAGACAGUUCGGUCCCUAUCUGCCGUGGGCGCUGGAGAACUGAGGGGGGCUGCUCCUAGUACGAGAGGACCGGAGUGGACGCAUCACUGGUGUUCGGGUUGUCAUGCCAAUGGCACUGCCCGGUAGCUAAAUGCGGAAGAGAUAAGUGCUGAAAGCAUCUAAGCACGAAACUUGCCCCGAGAUGAGUUCUCCCUGAGACUUUAGGUCUCCUGAAGGAACGUUGAAGACGACGACGUUGAUAGGCCGGGUGUGUAAGCGCAGCGAUGCGUUGAGCUAACCGGUACUAAUGAACCGUGAGGCUUAACCUU
rnacentral:rRNA from 1 species